rnacentral:lncRNA from 1 species
CCGAGUUAACUCUUCUCAUUUGAAAUUAACUCAUUUCUCUCUCUCCAAAACCAAACGAAGCCCUAAUAGAAGAAGAAAACUCUGCCGGACGGUGCUGCUCAUAUGCACACAAGGAUUGCAAAAUAACGGGCGACGGCUGAAAAUUAUUUUUCUGGUGAGUGCUGAAACCCUCAAACAAGGGACGGAAACUCUUUUUACUGUUCAAUAAUCAAUACAAGCCCAUGGAAUAGUUUGGAUCUCCUUCUUUCUCGGCUAAUUGAAAGUAAUUUGUAGAGUAUGAAACUAUGAAUGACAAUUGCCAGAUAUAAUUAUGAAAUUGUUAGUUUCUGUUUUUCAUCUUCAAACUUGGCCUAAAUUUCCCCUUUUUGCUCAAUUUAAACAAAAAAAAAAAAAAAAAAAAAACGCUACUACUAAACCCUAAAUGGAAGUGAAGAAAGAAAUCAAGAAAUAGGGGUGAUUUGAUUCAAGGUGUUUCAAGUUCAAAUUGUUAAUUAGUGCGGGAACUAAAGAGUCAUAAAAUAAUUUGUUGCUUUUUAAUCAAAGGAUAUCAAUCAGGUAACAUAUAUAGACUGCAAAAGAUGCAAAUCAGUGUCUUUCUUUGUGUGCUCAUGUCCGCAUGUGACAGAGAGAGAGUACCUGUAAUCUGAUGGAUUAUACUUUACUUUAUUGUUGAUUUGAUUUCAUAGGUAUUUUUUCCCCAUUAUUUUUCUUUGUUUCCUUUUUAGUUUUUUGGUAAGGGAUAAUUUGAUAAUUAGGUUGAUGUGAAAUGGGUUUUGAUUGUUUUUGUUAUUUAAGUAGUUUUUUUACGAUUAUUUAAUUCAAAAUGAAUCUUCAUAUUUAUUGGAAAGUAUGGGGAUGAACGAAAUCUUGAUUUACUUGUUAAUUUACUCUCUUAUUUGGAUAAAUUGGUUUCGUUUGUUCAUAUUUUGUCUCCUCGUAUUUUUAAAGUUAAAAAAAAAAAAAAAAAAAAGGUAACAUCGCUGCAUUCUUUUAUGUGUUUAAGAUAGGAGGUAUAAUUUUUUGGGAAAAAGCUACAUCUAUUAAUUUGAUGGAAAUCCAACAAAAGAGUUCAAAUUUAUUUUACUAUUAUGUGGAAUUAGAUAUGUUUAAAAAAUAUGGCCUUUACUAUAAUUAUUUAGAAUCCCUGGUAUUAGAAGCUUUCCAAACCUUUUAAAAUUGAUGUUUACCUUCUGGACAGGGUCUAUCGUCUAGAUGUUUAUCAUGUUAUUAUCUCCCUAUACCUUAAAAGACACUUACCAAUAGUUACUGUUCUUAGUUGAGUUCCACAUUUUCACACUUAACUUUUUGGAACUGGUUUGGCAAUUUCGAUGGGAUGGUAGUUAUUGUUGAUGAGCCCAAAAGUUUUUUGUAUCAGUCAUUCGAUUUUUCAGACUUGAAACUCAUUUCACAGGAAUUUUUUCUUCAUCAACUUGCAUAUUUUUGCAUCCAUAUGCUCCCAGAUUAUUAUACAUAUGUUUUCAUUCAUGUUUAGAAAAUCUUAAGCCGUUUGGAUGACUCAAAGAUUAAAUAUUCAUUCUAUGAAUUAUAAUUAUUUAACAAUUAAUUGAUUUAUCUCAGUUUAAUUCAUGCAUGACUCUUUACUUAGGAAAUGAAAAGUUGGGUUUAAGAAAUAUUUUUUAAUGUAGAGGUUUCUUCCCAUGAUUUUUUUUAUUUAAAGAAAAUUCCUAAUUUUUGGCAGAGUUUUAGUUUAGUUCUCAAUUUAUUUGAUUGAGAUGAAGAAAUUAAGUGAAAUUCUAAAGGGAAAUGAAAUGUUGGGAUUUAAGAAGGUUUGGUGUUUUGAUGGGAUUGAUGAAAUUAAUCGGAGUUCUGAGACAAUGGGUGGUGGAAAAUGGAGUGUGAUUUCCCUAUACCUUAAAAGACACUUACCAAUAGUUACUGUUCAUAGUUGAGUUCACGUUUUCACUCUUAACUUUUUGAAACUGGUUCGGCAAUUUCGAUGGGCUGGUAGUUACUGUUGAUGAGCCCAAAAGUUUUUUGUAUCAGUCAUUCAAUUUUUCAAACUUGAAACUCAUUUCACACAAAUUUUUUCUUCAUCAUCUUGCAUGUUUUUGCAUCCAUAUGCUCCCAAAUUAUUAUACAUAUGUUUUCAUUCAUGUUCAGAAAAUCUUAAGCCGUUUGGAUGACUCAAAAAUUAAAUAUUCAUUCUAUGAAUUAUAUCUAUUUAACAAUUAAUUGAUUUAUCUAAGUUUAAUUCAUGCAUGAUUCUUUACAUAGGAAAUGAAAAAUUGGGUUUAGGAAAUAUUUUCUAAUGUAGAGGUUUCUUCUCAUGAUUUUUUUUUUUGAUUUAAAGAAAUUCCUAAUUUUAGGCAGAGUUUUAUUUUAGUUCUCAAUUUAUUUGAUUGAGAUGAAGAAAGUAAGUGAAAUUCUGAAGGGGAAAUGAAAUGUUGGGAUUUAAGAAAGUUAGGUGUUUUGAUGGGAUUGAUGAAAAUUAUCGAAGUUUUGAGACAAUGGGUGGUGGAAAAGAGAGUGUGAUAUUAAAAAUAGAGAAGUAGGUGUUGGAGCAAUGAAUCAAAAUGAUUUCUUUGUUGGGAAUGAAGUUUCUCAUAGUUUUGUAGUGGAUUCAUGUCUUCUUCACGUGAAUGAUCAGAACAAAUGGGACUUUGAUUUUAAUGACGGGAAAGAAGAAAGUAGGUUGGAUUUUGAUAAUAAUGUGCCCAGUGUGCCGAACUUUGACAUGAAAGAUGGUGGAAUGGAAAUAAUCUAUCAAGGAUAAACACAACAACAACCGUGAACAUUGAGAGGAGAGUGGAAAUUAUUGACAUUACGUCAAUGAGAGGAAAUGAUGUGGAAAUAAUGGCUUAUAAAAAUGAUGAUAUAGGAAAGGGUAAGCAAAUUGAGGUUGAGAUGUUACGUGAUAAUACAGAAAGUUUGAACGUUGCUGUGGCAUACUCUUCUCAUUAUGUAGGAUUAGGUGUAUCUGUUCAAUAUGCGUGCUAGAUGCAUUUUGAAAGUACUUGAGGUUGUUUUGUAGUAUGAUUUUGGAGUAAAUGUAUACACAUUUUCUGUUUGCUAUAUAGAUGUUGAGACAACAUUAUUUUUUAUAGCCUAAUUAUGGUAAAUCCAAAUAAACUAGAAUGCACUAUAUUACACCAUCUGGAAUCAUAAAAGUAAAUACUUAACCCCUUGUACCAUGGAAAUGUAAUGCUUAAAAAUAGUUCAAUUAGCAUGCUAUAGACCAAUUGAAUUUCGCACAUGAAUUCCAUGUAUGUGGAAUAUUUCCUACUUUCGUAUGAUAAUUAUUGAGAGGGGGUGGUAUUGUCUGGUUAUUUUGAAGUAUGAGUGCUAACACGUAAUGCCUUCUUUUUCAAGAGAUGCAGAGACUAUAACUUGCAUGUGUGGUUAAGUCAAGUGGGGUCUGGUGCUGGUUGUGAUUAUUUAUUUGCAUCCAAACUAAUGGUAGGAUGGCAAAAAAAACACACUCGAUAAAAUUUAAAAAGUUAGGUUGAAGAAAAUGAAAGCUAGGGGAUAGGGAUCAUUUCUGUUAAGUUUCUUUCUAUUUCCUGUGACUAGCCCUUAAUUUGUAUAUAGUGCCUUAACAUUAUUAUUUUAUACACAAAAACAAAAGAGGAUUUAUCCAUAAUGACUCUUUUAAAUAUUCAUAUAAUUAAAAUUCAACGAAAACGAGAAAAUACCGAAUUACAAUUGCUUUUUCUUGUAUGGAUAUAUCAUCAAAGUUACUUCGCUAAUUUUUGUGGCAGUGACUUUUUAUAACAAAAAAUUGCCUUUGAAGGAUAAAUGGUAUUUUUUUUCCUUUGUCUUUGAUGUUAGCAAUCUGAAUUUUUACAUUAAAUUUAUACAGAUUUCAGUAAAUAAUUUAGUGGAAAAUAUGUGUUAAGACAAAAAUUGAGUUUAAAAAAUUAAGAUAAACACUAACUCUUACAUUCUUGUAAUGUAGGGCAAUUGUGUAAUCUUUUGGUAAAGGCACUUCCUUCUACGUGAUUCAGGUACAAGUUCUUCAAAAAUAUUCAUUUGAUACUAAUUUUGUUAUUCUUUCAUGGUGAUUUGUAAAAGACCUUUGUAUAUUUUUCCUUUAAAACUUCAUGUUGAUUUCUCGACUAUUCUAUGUAUUUCAAUUUUUAAAUUUAUAUUGUGAACAGGUUCACAUUCAUAAUUGCAUUUUUAUUAAGAAAUUCAAUGUAUAUGUGAUUAUUUUGCUAGGUUUUUGCUUUUCUGGGAUUUCUUGUACUUUUGUUGGCGUUUUCAAACUAAUGAUUUUGGUUUUUUUUGGCCCCCAAAAUAGCUAUGUAUCCAUAUCUUAACGACGACCUGUAAUAUAGCACCAAAACCUCAUAAAAAUUUUACUUGCUAGCUAGCCAACGUACCUACAUCUUCUCUUUAUAUUUUGGCUUACUAACUUAAAUUAAAUUUUGACCUGUCACUUUAGGCUUCUUUCAAAAAAAAANAGUCGCCCAGAGCUGUUACUCUAUUCUCGCCCAAACCUUCGAGUCGCCCAAGGUCUUAGCAAACAUGAAGUGUGUGGUUAUCAAGAAGUGCAGUUAUCAAAGCAGUUAUUAAAGCAGCUCUAUCACGUUCCACGAUUCAAGGAACUUAAUUGAAGACGGUUGAACGACAAAGAGUAAUGGCAGCAGUUAGAAAAGGUAGUUCCAUAACAAGUUGGUCAUUACGAGGAAAGUGAGCAGUUAUAGAACGAUCCAGUAGUUUUUAGGUGGUUGAUCACAAAGAGAUCAUCCAGGGAGUAUAAAAGGAAGGAGGACAUAGAGCAAAGAGACCGAAUCAAAAACUCUCGAACAGAGAACAUGUAAUUUUAAAUUUAUUAGUUUAGAUUUAAACACUUCUUUCAGUAACUCGUGUGUUUGCGCUCCUUGGAGACAUUCUGUUUUUAAUUUCCAAUUGUAAAGUCAGCGCCAAUAAAGAACACCCCUUUUUGGGAUUUUGUCUCAAGAGAUUUGUCCCUUACACAAUCGUCUGAUCCCUUUUUAAUUAUUAGCGACGAACCCACACGAAACAGAAAUCAAACCCUAAGAGAAAGAAGAAAGGUAAUAAUCUCCUAUGUGUGUCUCCAAUCGUACGUACACUUCAUACCCCGUGCUCGAUUUUGUGUUUCAAAUUAUAUGAAUUAUUUUGCGAAUGGGUAAAAGUUCCUAACUUUUUUUAAUCUUUUGUUCAAUUCUUCUUUUUUGGUGUUCAAUUUAUAUUUUGGCUCUUCGGACUAUCAAUUGGUAAUUUUGUUUAUUUGCUGGAAAUUUUUUGAAGUGAAUUUUGGUUCAGUUUUUUUUUUUCUUGGUUUAUUUUUGCUAUAAAUUCGAGUGGUCUUCCGUUUUGUUUUUAAAAAUCUUUGAUUAAUUUAUUUUGAGUUUGGACUUUUAUUUUGGUGUUUGUGUGGAAAUUGCUUAAAAGAGGCAGUGGACUUUAUUUAGUUUUGAAGUGGGUUAAUUUUGAAGUUGGGGAGUUUGAAUGCUGUGUAGUUUUUGACGUACUAUGCAUAUUUUUUUAAAAUUUUUUUUAAAUGUGCAGAUCUUCAUAUCGAAUGUACAAUUGGAGCUAUGAUGUCCUGAAAUUUUGAAUCACUAUACAAAUUAUUUGGCAAUACUGUUAUUUUUGAGUAAUUUACGAUUAAUUAUAUUUCUUUGAGAGUUUUUGUUUUCUAUCUAUAACUGAAAAAUGGACUGCUUGGUUUUCCACGAUUUGUUUCUGUAUUUCUUUUUUGGUGGAUAUUAUUAUUAUUGUUUUGCUCAUGCCAGAUUGCUUAAAUUCUUUUUGCCAUUAAACAAAUAUGUUCUAAUGGGUUAUUAAAUAUCUAUUUCCUUUUCAGUUGUGAUUGUAAGAAAUUAUUGGUCCUCAAUGUAAAUUUGUUUGGCGUCCUCUUCGUUUUCACUUUUGGAUAGUUUUUUUAUAUUCAAUGUGGUCUGACUAUGCCAAUAUUAAUAUACCCCGAGGAGUGCAUCCCGAGGACUCAAUCUAUACCCCACCUCAUUUCUCUUCUUCGGUCCUCGAGGUCAUCUAAGUCCUCGAGAUAUUGUAGUCCUCGAGAUACCUCAAGGACACAUUUACAUUCCCUCAAUGUCCUCGAGAAUAGUCCUCGAGACAUACACCACCAACAUACCUCCUAAGACCUGGGUACCUAACUAACAAACCUAAACACCCAAGGAUUCUACAUCAACCCUAACACCACUUGUCAAACAAUUCCAUUACAAGUAGGACAUUCUUUAUAAUAGAAAUUCCCUUGGAUAAAAACAUCCAACCAACACAAUCCUACUAGGAGUACACUACCUACUCCUAUAAAAGCAGAACCUUGGGCCAUUAUUCAGGUACGUUUUGACAUUGUUCUUUAGCACAUAGCCUCACGCAUAUAUUUCCCUUUCUGACUUAAGCAUCGGAGGGGCGACGAGAACACGCCUCGUUGCCUUUGUUUCAGGUAUCGGAAGAUCACGUUCGUGCUCCUCACCAGUCAUCAAGCUCGGAAAAUUUACAGGUACGAUUUUUGGUAGCAUCAUGGUCCAAUAAAUUUUUGACGGGAAAAUUAACGAUUCUUGUUAUAUGUCACCAGGUUAACAGCUAUUCCUAGGGUUGUCAACCUCUCGCAAACCUCGACUCCUGAUCACAAAUGGAUAACAAGCCAAAUAUUAGAAACGGGAUUAAAUAAAUAGACCCUGGAUGCACAGUGCAUGUUUGGUAUAUGCAGUACUCGACCUAAAAUCAUGGUGGCACAACCCCAGCCGCCAGAGGAGGAUUUUAGGGCGGGGCGGCCUUUGUAGUCCCAGGCAUCCGGGAGAGUUUCAGCAGCUUCUUGUUCGGUUUCCGGGAGUGCCAUUCAAAUGCAGAAAGGUUUUGGAUUAUGAAAUUUGUAUUUUAGCAGAGGAAAUUCAACGGAGAAGGGGUGGGGGGUGUUUAACUCUAGCUGUGCCUUGGAAUUCCAAUAAUUUUAUAGGAUCAUUUAUGUAAUCUUUAUUAUGCCCUUGUUGGGUAAGCAGAUUUAAAUAAAUAUUGAUGAAAUAUGUGGUUAAAAAGUUGUCAAACACAUAAAAUAUGAUUAAAAUUAAUUAUAGAUUAAACUUUCCAAACGAGGAUACAUUGGAUAAGUGUGGACAACAUCUUUAAUUAUUUUAAUGAUUAAAGCAUAAAUAAGCGACAUUCUUCUAUCAAUGAAGUAUAUCCUCGAAAAGAUGGAGAGAAUGCUAAAAGAAACAAUAGUAGGGUGAGUUUUUAUGGUUAUUACUUCUCCCACCAAAGCACAGGCCUGCUUCUCGGCUUCAAUGGACUAUUUUGAAAAAAAAAAAAAAAAAAAAAUCUCCUGCUUUAGUCUUGUAUGGACACACAUCUGAGAUUUUCUUGAAUUUUAUUAUAUAAUCAUGAUGACGCCUCUUGAUAUUAAGUGCCUUACAAACUCUUCAUUUAAAAAUUACACACGAAUUGAAGUAUUCAAGAAUGUUAUGCAAAACAUGAGCAAGAAAUUUGAAACUUUUAUCACCCCUUUUCUAAAAAGAAAUGGUUAGUCAUUCAAUUUUUCAGACUUGAAACUCAUUUCACAUGAAUAUUUUUGCAUUCGUAUGCUCCCAGAUUAUUAUACAUAUGUUUUCAUUCAUGUUUAGAAAAUCUUAAGCCGUUUGGAUGUCUCGAAGAUUAAAUAUUCAUUCUAUGAAUUAUAUUUAUUUAACAAUUAAUUGAUUUAUCUAAGUUUAAUUCAUGCAUGAUUCUUUACAUAGGAAAUGAAAAGUUGGGUUUAAGAAAUAUUUUCUAAUGUAGAGGUUUCUUCCCAUGAUUUUUUAUUUUUUUUUAUUUAAAGAAAAAUCCUAAUUUUUGGCAGAGUUUUAGUUUAGUUCUCAAUUUAUUUGAUUGAGAUGAAGAAAGUUAGUGAAAUUCUGAAGGGGAAAUGAAAUGUUGGGAUUUAAGAAGGUUAGGUGUUUUGAUGAGAUUGAUGAAAAUUAUCGGAGUUUUGAGACAAUGGGUGGUGGAAAAGAGUGUGAUAUCCCUAUACCUUAAAAGACACUUACCAAUCGUUACUGUUCAUAGUUGAGUUCCACGUUUUCACACUUAACCUUUUGGAACUGGCUUGGCAAUUUCGAUGGGCCGGUAGUUACUGUUGAUGAGCCCAAAAGUUUUUUGUAUCAGUCAUUCAAUUUUUCAGACUUGAAACUCAUUUCACACGACUUUUUUCUUCAUCAUCUUGCAUAUUGUUGCAUAAACCAAAUUAUUAUACAUAUGUUUUCAUUCAUGUUUAGAAGAUCUUAAGCCGUUUGGAUCACUCGAAGAUUAAAUAUUCAUUUUAUGAAUUAUAUUUAUUUAACGAUUAAUUGAUUUAUCUAAGUUUAAUUCAUGCAUAAUUCUUUACGUAGGAAAUGAAAAGUUGGGUUUAGGAAAUAUUUUCUAAUGUAGAUGUUUCUUCCCAUGAUUUUUUUUUAUUUAAAGAAAAUUCCUAAUUUUUGUUAAGAGUUUUAGUUUAGUUCUCAAUCUAUUUGAUUGAGAUGAAGAAAGUAAGUGAAAUUAUGAAGGGGAAAUGAAAUCUUGGGAUUUAAGAAGGUUAGGUGUUUUGAUGGGAUUGAUGAAAAUUACCGGAGUUUUGAGACAAUGGGUGGUGAAAAAGAGAGUGUGAUAUUAAAAAUGGAGAAGUAGGUGUUGGAGCAAUGAAUCAAAAUGAUUUCUUUGUUAGGAAUGAGGUUUUUCAUAGUUUUGUAGUGGAUUCAUGUCUUCUUCAUGUGAAUGAUCAGAACAAAUGGGACUUUCAUUUUAAUGAUGGGAAAGAGGAAAGUAGGUUGGAUUUUGAUAAUAAUUUGCCUAGUGUGCCGAACUUUGAUAUGAAAGAUGGUGGAAUGGAAAGAAUCUAUCAAGGAUAUACACAACAACAACUUGUGAACAUUGAGAGGAGAGUGGAAAUUAUUGACAUUACGUCAAUGAGAGGAUGAUGAUGUGGAAAUAAUAGCUUAUAAAAAAGAUGAUAUCGGAAAGGGUAAGCAAAUUGAGGUUGGGAUGUUACGUGAUAGUACAGAAAAUUUGAACGUUGCUGUGGCAUACUCUUCUCAUUAUGUAGGAUUAGGUGUAUUUGUUCAAUAUGCGUGGAAGAUGCAUUUUGGAAGUACUUGAGGUUGUUUUGUAGUAUGAUUUUGGAGCAAAUGUAUACACAUUUUCUGUUUGUUAUAUAGAUGUUGAGACAACAUCUAUUUUUUAUAGCCUAAUUAUGGUAAAUCGAAAUAAACUAGAAUGCACUAUAUUACACCAUCUAGAAUCAUAAAAGUAAAGACUUAACCCCUUGUACCAUGGAAAUGUAACGCUUAAAAACAGUUCAAUUAGCAUGCUAUAGACCAAUUGAAUUUCGCACAUGAAUUCCAUGUAUGUGAAAUAUUUCCUAUUUUCGUAUGAUAAUUAUUGAGAGGUUGAGAGGGGGUGGUAUUGUCUGGUUAUUUUGAAGUAUGAGUGCUAACAGGUAAUGCCUUCUUUUUCGAGAGAUGCAUAGAGUAUAACUUGCAUGUGUGGUUAAAUCAAGUGAGGUCUGGUGCUGGUUGUGAUUAUUUAAUUUGCAUCCAAACUAAUGUUAGGAUGACAAAAAAAUACGCUCGAUAAAAUUCAAAGGGUUAGGUUGAAGAAAAUGAAAGCUAGGAGUUAGGGAUCAUUUCUGUUAAGUUUCUUUCUAUUUCCAAUCACUAGUCCUUAAUUUGUAUAUAGUGCCUUAACAUUAUUAUUUUAUACACACACACAAGAAAAAAAAGAGGAUUUAUCCAUAAUGACUCUUUUCAAUGUUCAUAUAAUUAAAAUUCAACAAAAAAAGAGAAAAUACCGAAUUACAAUUGCUUUUGCUUGUAUGGAUAUAUCAUCAAAGUUACAUCGCUAAUUUUUGUGGCAGUGACUUUUUAUAACAAAAAAAUUGCCUUUGAAGGAUAAAUGGUACUUUUUUCCUUUGUCUUUGAUGUUAACAAUCUGAAUUUUUACAUUAAAUUUAUACAGCCUUCAGUAAAAUAAUUUAGUGGAAAAUAUUUGUUAAGACAAAAAUUGAGUUUAAAAAGUUAAGAUAAAUACUAACUUUUACGUUCUUGUAAUGUAGGGCAAUUGUGUAAUCUUUUGGUAAAGGCACUUCCUUCUAAGUGAUUCAGGUACAAUUUCUUCAAAAAUAU